CGAGUCAUGAGUAAAACGCUCAACACGUUGCAGCUAGACGCUGUCGGGAUGAGUUUUUGUUUUUUUUUAAAUAGAGGGGGGUGGGGUGUGCUGAGUUUGGUAACUUUCAGUAUCAACGGAGACGAAAGAUCUCUAAACUUCAACAACUUUGGCUUGUUGGUAGUCGGGUGAAUUGGAACUGCACAGAGAACUGCAUUUUGACCCUGGAGUAAAGGUGUCAGAACAACUAGUGACUUGGUGACAUGGUGAACAGAACUCCACUUCCGGAUGAGGUAAAGGGCUAAGGAUCCAGAAUGCAAGUGCUAAGAACUUAUAAGCUUGAAAAGGAUCAGAGAGAAGAUGAGACAAAUCAACAAGUAUUGAAUAAGUGACACCAAGCCAUGAGAAAGAAAGGCUACAGACUAAGGCAGAACAAGUUUGAAACUGGAAUUUGGGGGAAAAAAAUACUGUGUGGUUAUGGUAGACCAGCCAGUAACAUCAUCCGAUAACUGAACACCAGACUUGAACUUGCAACCCAAUUGAUUUUCAGUGGAAGGACUGAUGCAGAAGUUUCCUUGAUUGAAGAUAUCCAUGACAUUCAUUAAAUUAUCUGUGUUGUCAACAUCUGUUAAUGUGGUAGUCAAAGGUAAUUUCAAACUGCUUGCAAACUUACAUCAUGCACAGUUCAUCUAUUGUUUGUACACUUUAUGCAUUAAAAUCAUGAUUCAUUGAGCAAUCUCCUAAUCUAGAUCAUGUAUGCUUAAAUUCAAAAUUGUUGCCUCUAUUUCAAUACGGGGAUAACGGUUGGGCAAGAUUAGCUGCUGUGUUUCUGACAUUAUAACAAUAACUACACUUAACUAGCUGUAAAAUGAUUUGAGAUGUUGCAAUAUAAAUGGAAGUUUACUUCUUUUCUCUGAAACUUGGUUGUGACAUGCACUGGGACCUUGACCUCUCACUAAUAAACUGGGGUUGCCUGAAAAAAAUAACAAAGUAAUGUCUUUUCUGUUCGUAAUGCUAACUGUUUGAGUUGUUCAUUAAGUGCUUUGCGUAUCCAAAUGCACCUUUGUAACUUAAUUUGGAGUUGACCUUUUCCUAUUACCAAUGCUGAAGAGCCCUGUUAUUUUAGAAGAAAAAAAAAGUUAGAAAUUUGUUUAGGAGAAAAUAAAUUACCCC